rnacentral:rRNA from 1 species
AUUGAACGCUGGCGGCAUGCUUUACACAUGCAAGUCGAACGGUAACAGGCCGCAAGGUGCUGACGAGUGGCGAACGGGUGAGUAAUGCAUCGGAACGUGCCCAGUCGUGGGGGAUAACUACUCGAAAGAGUAGCUAAUACCGCAUACGAUCUAUGGAUGAAAGCGGGGGACCGUAAGGCUUCGCGCGAUUGGAGCGGCCGAUGUCAGAUUAGGUAGUUGGUGGGUAAAGGCUCACCAAGCCAACGAUCUGUAGCUGGUCUGAGAGGACGACCAGCCACACUGGGACUGAGACACGGCCCAGGCUCCUACGGGAGGCAGCAGUGGGGAAUUUUGGACAAUGGGCGCAAGCCUGAUCCAGCAAUGCCGCGUGCAGGAAGAAGGCCUUCGGGUUGUAAACUGCUUUUGUACGGAACGAAACGGCUCUGGUUAAUACCCGGGGCUAAUGACGGUACCGUAAGAAUAAGCACCGGCUAACUACGU